ACUCUUGGAGUCGGUAAGAUUUUUAUUUUUCUACCCAAGUUAAAAUGUUCAUUUAAAACAUCUCUUAAAAAGUUUUUUUUUUUUGUUUCUUUUCAAGAUCAAUCUUUAAACUCUUCAUUUAUCACACUGGUGACUCUAAAAAUUUGCUUGAUUAUUUCUGUUAUUUUACAUAUUACAAUUGCAUGCUACCUAUCCAUUAAAAAAGCCAAGAAACAGAUUAAAGGCAAAAAAUCAAGCCACGGACAUGAUGUUGGCCAAAAGGAAGACCAUAUUGAUGAAGAUAGAAAUGACCUGGACUACGCAGCACUGCAGUUUCCAGGAAGCAAAGCAACCAUUAGAUGUAUUAAGAAAAAUAUGGAUGAAAGUGUUUAUUCACAAGUAAAAUGAUAUCCUAUUUCUUUAUGUAUUUAGUUUAAUCUUUGGUUUGCGCUUUCAUAAGUACAUUUUGCGCUAAUUUAACCCUUUGUUAUGGAGCAAUUUUAUCUUAAAAAAAGGAACGUUUAUGUUUUUACUUACUUUUUAUGAUAGUUUAAAAGUACCUGUUUGUACUUAUGUUAUAACAAUGCUGAAAUUAACUAUUUUAUUCAGUGAAUAGAAGUCUACAGAGCAACAUAUGUUAAGCAAAACUCAGCAGACAUAGUGGCUCACAAGCAUUAGUGCAGUUUUGCUUUUUUCAUGCUUGUUGUUUAGACUCACAUAUUGAAUGAGGGAACUAAGAUCCCCAUUAUACUGUUAAGAUAAUUAUCAUUGAUGAUUACACCUUGUUAUUGGCUGCCUGUUGCAUGUCAGAACUCAUGUUUUCCACAAUAGUUUAUCAGCUUGAGACAUUUCCUCUCUCCUGAUACAGUUAUAAUCUUCAUUCUGUACGUGGCAAAUAUUUGAGAAUGACAUCAGUGUGGUGUCCAUCAACUAAGAGCAAAUUGGAAUAUUUGGAUAAGGCUGCUGCCAUGAUGUCUAUUCAUCUGCGAACGUGUAUGAUGGAAAAUGUGAUCAUGUGGCAGACUGGAGACAUAUAAAAUGCCUUUUUAACUGUUAAUUGGGGCCACUUCCUGACAGGUGAACCGAGAGGGUGGGCAGCUGCCAUUCUAUAAAUUCUGUAACUUCUCUGAUCUGAAUAAGA